UGGGGAAUAUUGGACAAUGGGCGAAAGCCUGAUCCAGCCAUGCCGCGUGUGUGAAGAAGGUCUUCGGAUUGUAAAGCACUUUAAGUUGGGAGGAAGGGCAGUAAGUUAAUACCUUGCUGUUUUGACGUUACCGACAGAAUAAGCACCGGCUAACUCUGUGCUAG
rnacentral:rRNA from 1 species